UGCGAUCAUACCAGCACUAAUGCACCGGAUCCCAUCAUCACACCAAAAUAAAGAGUGCAUGGGCGAGAGUAGUACUAGGAUGGGUGACCUCCUGGGAAGUCCUCGUGUUGCA